CAUGCCGCGUGUAUGAAGAAGGCCUUCGGGUUGUAAAGUACUUUUGUUAGGGAAGAAAAGGGAAGUGCUAAUACCACUUUUUGCUGACGGUACCUAAAGAAUAAGCACCGGCUAACUACGUGCCAGCAGCCGCGGUAAUACGUAGGGUGCGAGCGUUAAUCGGAAUUACUGGGCGUAAAGCGAGCGCAGACGGUUACUUAAGCAGGAUGUGAAAUCCCCGGGCUCAACCUGGGAACUGCGUUCUGAACUGGGUAGCUAGAGUAUGUCAGAGGGGGGUAGAAUUCCACGUGUAGCAGUGAAAUGCGUAGAGAUGUGGAGGAAUACCGAUGGCGAAGGCAGCCCCCUGGGAUAAUACUGACGUUCAUGCUCGAAAGCGUGGGUAGCAAACAGGAUUAGAUACCCUGGUAGUCCACGCCCUAAACGAUGUCGAUUAGCUGUUGGGCAGCUUGACUGCUUAGUAGCGUAGCUAACGCGUGAAAUCGACCGCCUGGGGAGUACGGUCGCAAGAUUAAAACUCAAAGGAAUUGACGGGGACCCGCACAAGCGGUGGAUGAUGUGGAUUAAUUCGAUGCAACGCGAAGAACCUUACCUGGUCUUGACAUGUACGGAACCUUCCAGAGACGGAAGGGUGCCUUCGGGAGCCGUAACACAGGUGCUGCAUGGCUGUCGUCAGCUCGUGUCGUGAGAUGUUGGGUUAAGUCCCGCAACGAGCGCAACCCUUGUCAUUAGUUGCCAUCAUUCAGUUGGGCACUCUAAUGAGACUGCCGGUGACAAACCGGAGGAAGGUGGGGAUGACGUCAAGUCCUCAUGGCCCUUAUGACCAGGGCUUCACACGUCAUACAAUGGUCGGUACAGAGGGUAGCCAAGCCGCGAGGUGGAGCCAAUCCCAGAAAACCGAUCGUAGUCCGGAUUGCACUCUGCAACUCGAGUGCAUGAAGUCGGAAUCGCUAGUAAUCGCAGGUCAGCAUACUGCGGUGAAUACGUUCCCGGGUCUUGUACACACCGCCCGUCACACCAUGGGAGUGGGGGAUACCAGAAGUAGGUAGGGUAACCGCAAGGAGCCCGCUUACCACGGUAUGCUUCAUGACUGGGGUGAAGUCGUAACAAGGUAGCCGUAGGGGAACCUGCGGCUG
rnacentral:rRNA from 1 species